UGAAUAUUUCUUCCUUUGUUCAACUUUAUCCUCUGAGUGCAAGAUGAUCUGCUGUGUGGAAAUGUGCAGCGGGUCUGAACAUUUAAUGUGAGCAUUUUUGCAUGCACUCACAGUGGUAGAAGAAGUGCUCAGAGCCUUUACUUAAGUAAAAGUGCAAAUGUAAGACAAUGAAAGUGACUCUGUUACAAGUAAAAGUCCUGCAUUUAAGUAAAGGUACAAAAGUAUCUUUAAGUAUACUUCUCAAAGGGAGGCUACUGCUUGUGCAGUAAAAUGUCCAACACAUUCUCAUCUCAGUGCAUCAAUUACCGACGCUUUCAGAAAGCGUGAAAAAGUGAAGCGAAGUAUUUGAUGCAAAAAGUGUCCAUGUGAAACAACAACAACAGUCUGCUAGUGCGAAGCAACACAAAGGAAGUUAACUCCACCUGCUAGCACAUCGGCCUAGCGCUUCCGCGUCUUCUGUGUCUCAUCCUGACGCUCAAAGGUACCUUUUGCGUCAAAUAACUACGCUUUGUCAGCCUUUCUGAAAGCAUCAGUAUCUGACACCCUGACAUGAGAAUGGGCUCAAAUGUCCCCUGUGACCGAUUAUUUUGUUAGUUCUGAUGCAUCAGUGUUAGAGCAGAGCAGGACAUUGAAACUGUCCUUCCUCUAAACAUCUAAAGCAUCUUCUCUGAAAUCUUUUCAGGUGGUGGAAACAGGAACCGUGGCCGUGCUGGGAUCAUUUCCAGCGUUGUCUUAUUCAUUCUCUGCCUCGUCGUUUUUGGUGUUCUGCUUCUGAGGAAGAAAAUAACAAUGCAGUGUGUGAAGAGGAUCGGAGUAAGGAAGGAGCAAAAACCAGAGACGGCGUCAAACGGAUCUGAAGGGAAAAAGCUGAACACUCAAGCAGCGUUCUACACAUCUCAGGCAGCAAUAAUGACUCCAUCUGGUCCAGAUACUCACUACUGGAAAAGGAACUUUCCAUAGAUCUUCUGAGCCAGUCAACAAUUAGACCUCAACAAAAUCCUGUCAAAUAUUUAUACAGGAGAACAUCAGUCAGUUUCUAUGCAUUGAUAAAAUGAAAAGUCCAGACUCCUGGGCCCAAAUAUGCAGGAAUAUUUCACACAUGCCUAAAAAUUGUUAGUGAAGUCAGACUGUUCAAAAUGUGAAAGUGCCCAGAGGAUGAUCUGUUUUCAUGAUCCUCCUACUUUUCCUCUGGCCACCAUCAGGUUGACUUUGAGGUUUCAAGUAAAAUACCUCAACAGCUAUUGGAUGGAUUUCCAUGAAACACCAUGCUGACUUGAGCGUUUAGCUCAAAGCACCACUGAGCCUUAAAACAGCUGCGUGGCUUUAGACUGAUACUGAAAGAAAAUAAUAAAAUGCAUUUCCUUCUUUAUUAUGAGGAUUUUUUCAAACAUGUUGGUAAAACUUUAAGUUCCAAUAUUUAACAUUUAUAAGCAGCACAUGCACACUUAAUUCAUGGCUUAUAACACAUAAGUGUUUACAGUUAUAAAAAUGUUUUUAAAUGUUUAUUAAGGUGCUGUAUUCGCCAAUAACUAUAACUUCUCCCAUGAAGACGUAUUUUAUAUUAUCACAACUGUGUUUCACCAGAUUGUGACAGAUUAUCUGUUUGUACACAGGCAUCAAUUUAUGGACAGGAGGAGCUGCAGCUUAAGACAGAUACAUUAAUAAACACUUACAGUCCAGUUUAUUAGGGACAGCUAGCUAAAGCUAACUUCUGUGGACACAACUUAUAUCAAUGAGGUUAGGCUGAAUAGUGAACACUUGUAUAAUGCUAUAAGAUUCAACAGCACAACAAACUGCAGCCUCCAAAAUUAUCAUAAAGUCAAGUCAACAAAAACUAAACAUUAUAAACUUCAUGAAGGAGGACUGUUGUAUUCGAGUGCAUUAGUUGAAGCUGGGUGAAUAAACUGAGUGUAGAAACUCUUACUAACUUGUUCUUCUGUUCAAAUAUUGCCAAUAACGUUGUGCUCUUGGUCACAUCAGCAACAUCAGCGAGAGCUUUCCAUCACUUUAAAUUCAUGACAAUUAAGAAGAUUUAAAUCUCAGGCUGGUUCUGAGAAACUGAUCUGACUGCUGUAAAUCUCUCUGUUGAUUACCCAAACAACAAACACCAAGAAGUCUCCUGCUCGUUUCUAACACUGUUGUUGUCCCUUUAAUGUCUAUGUUGAAUCAGUCACUGCAGAUUAACUUCUGUAUGAAGAUGUAUAUUUUUAUAUUAGAAUUGCACUGAUUUGAUGAAGAUUAUCAGCUAUUUGUGAUGAUGUUUUUUGUGCCUUUACUUCAGUGUGAUUUUGAAUGUCGACCUUCUACUUGAAUUGAACUGUUACAUUGUGAUAUCACUUAUUUUACUUCUUCCACAGUGUAGCAUAGCAGAAACAAGAAAGUUAAUAAAUUAUAUAUAUAUAUAUAUAUAUACAUAUACACACACACACACACACUUAAUUUCCUUCCUUGUACCUGAAUUAAAACGGAUUGUUCUAAGGUCAUGGGUUGAGGUACAUUUAUAUUAAUGGAUCACAAUACUUUUUCACAUUCACUUUCUAUUAGUUUUACAUUUGUAACUCUGCCCUGGAUUUAAUAGCAUCUUAUGUAAAAUAACAUUCACAGUAAAAUCAUCCAUACACAAAUACAUUGUAGAGGGAGAGAGAGAAAAGGCUUGUAGUGCUCUCUAUGCAGCUAAAUAGAAAUUCUAUAAGUAUCCUAAAUAAAAUCUGGUGUCAAAUA